AUGAUUAUUUAUAUGUGAUUUAAAUUUGUCUGCUUGGUUGUAAGGGAAAUCUAACAGAUACUGACACGUAACACAAAACAGACAUUUGCCCUUUCCUGCAACAUGCAUUCAUGACAGCAACAGACUCCUAAGUGUUUUUUGUGUGUCAUGCGAUUCCUUCAGAGUUGUGUGUGUCUGCAGCUGAGCACUCUCAUCCUCAGCCAGGCUUCUGACUAAUUAGGAGUCGAGUCUUAGAGCUGUGAUGAGGUGACAGAUUCAGUAAUUUGCAUAUCAUUUCAUGUUCAUAGGAUAAGCCCUUCUGGUUCUCUCUUCUCUAUUUUUUUUCUCUCUUUCUUCCAAACGCUCCACAUUUUACGAUAAUUAGCUUGAUACAAAAUCAAGAGGAGCCAGUUCGUGCCAGAUAUGUCUUGUGCAUGAAAUCUGUUCGGAUUGCACCAGCUUGAACAUCCAUAACACAAACAAGGAAGAAAAGUGUACCUCAAUCUCUUGCACUUGCUCCUCAUUGUUGAUGUACAUCUGCUGAAGGGAGUCCUCCAGCUCCUUGUUGCGUUCCAGGAGAGUCUUGCCCAGCUCCGCUGCCAAGUGCAGGUCUGACAGAAGCCAAGAGAGAGGGACAAAUGUAAACAGCAGAGAACUGUGAAGAGUGUGGAGGACAGGAGCUCGCUGCACAGAGCUUUUGAGAGCUGCACUCACUGCAGCCAAGGUCAACAUAACAUGUUGGAAACCUCCCUGAUCUGAAAAGCAAAACCUAUAUUAAGUCAGCUUAAGAUGAGAAAUGGAGAAAAUUCUGUCCUUGAAUCAGCCCUAUAAGCUUCUGAGGCCCUAAUUUUUCUGACCUGCUUCUCUCUCAAGAUGACUUCAUGAAAACCAAGAUGUGAGAAAAUGGCUUUGAAUUCAUCAGAAGAUUCAUAUGUAAAGUUUUUUUUACAAUUACUUCCAUUGCUUCAUAAUGAAUUGCAGCAAGCCUUGAAAUGGAGCUACGGGCCUGCAAGAACAAGUAUAACACGUUGAAAGAAGCCUUGCAUAUGCUGCUACAAUGCUUCAGGCCACUGCCUUCAGUCUGCUUGAGCACAGAUCAUAUUGACACAAACCUGCAGCCAUCUGCACACCAGGAGCUUGAGCAGUGAUAACACCGCAGAAGCCAGCCUCACAGUUGCUGAUAUUUUCCAACACAGCUUGAAACAUACAUUAUUCACCUCCUUUGGUAGGAAAAAAAAAACAAAAACUAGCCGGACUGAGGAGGAGGAGGAGGAGAAUCCCGCUGGCUCUGCAUACUUGGAGCCCAUAACAACACAGCACUGGAGGAGUGGUGGAAAGACGGGAAGGAACACAGAGCCACUGACACUGACUGGACGUGAAUGCAGCCUUUCAUCACCACAGAGUAGGGUGUGAGCCGUGACAGGAACACACACACGUGCAUCAUCUUUGGUGUAAAGCGCAAGGAACUCGAUAUAAUUUACAUGUAUCCGUGUGUUAACUAUGACACACAUUCCAGUUUGCCUCGGUGGAGCAGGACUCCCUCCGUUUUAUCUUAAAUGAUCAAGCUUAGUAGCUCACACUGCGCCCGCCUGUGUUGCUACAUUUGCCUCCAGUGCUGCCGAGGGAGGCAGGGACAGGCUGUAAUUUCCUGUUUCAACAAUGCAGAACUGAUAGCAGAACACUGGCCUGAACCACCGAGUGAUAAUGAGCUGAGUGAGAGUGCGUGAGGAGAGAGCGCAGCCGGCCUUCGCCCCCAGGUCCAACUCAGUCAUAGCACUGUUUCUGCUCCUGAGGGCCGACACGUGCCGAGUCUUAGUUAUGUAAUUUCUCAAAUGAUGGGCACGGAUGAGAGAGAGGCUGUGUUGAGGAAAUAUCAAUCGCCUGGCACCUGAUGACAAAAAAAAGGCUGUCACAUCUGCUCAAAGCGUACUGAUGAUCCUGAUCCUAUGAGCUUCAGCACAGUCCUGGCACCUAUCCACAGGUGUACAUGGGUAUGUGCUGUCUGCACACGCAUCUCUGUGAUGCUCUUUGAUGUGUGAGCCCAUCAGAUGAGGCUGCAAUAAAAACAUGACAUCACCACGCCCCGCCAUGCCAUCUGCCGAGACGCACUUCAUAUGUUUGCCGGAUCAUAAUGAACACAGGGGUCACCACACAGCAGAGCUGGCAGGAGACGAGUUGCAUAACAGCAUCAUUUCUGGGGCAAAAUGAUGCCCGACUGUGAGCGCAUGCAGGAUGACGUUCGUUUGGAGCAGCGAUCUGACCCCAAAGCCUGAAAUCUUUGAUCCCCACUAAGGAGGUCUCGUCUGGGCCUCCCAAAUCAGAUCAACCCAGGGGCUUACUGACUUCAAGCUCAAUGCUGAAUAAUGCUGAGAUGAGAUACACACUGCAUGGCGACACACGCAUACACAGAUAGUGUACACACACAGCAAUAUCCACCUGCCUCUCUCCUGUCAGACUAUGUACUAUGCUAUGAUGAGACACAAAGCUGCUUUGCUUCUCUGGGUCAGCAGGUAAUCAGGAGAUGGGGUGAUGUUGAGGCCGGCACUACACACACACACACACACACACACACACACACACACACACAUCUCAUCUUGCCUCUGAAAUGCACUGCAAAACGAAAGUGCAUCCAUUUAAGUCAUUACUGAGCAGGCUGAUGAUCACACACUGUAUCACAUUUCACAUCAGUCAAAAAGGCAACAUUAAGGUUACAGCAAUGACAGCAGGCCUGUUUUGAAGUGAUUCUUUGCACAAAAAAGAAAAAUGUAACAAAAUCAAUCACUGUCCUUUUUGCUUUGGUUGAAUUUUUCAGACAAAGGAGUGAACACGGGGGCUGGAGCCUGUUCCACUGUUGUCCCGGUGGUCGUACCACGGCUCCUCUUCCUCCGUGACAAACUCCUCCAUCCUGCCUGCGCGAAGCAUCGAUGCUGAUGAACUUCUUUCUCCACCUGCGAUGUGAUCUGCUAAUUCGCCGACUGCUCGCCCGGAAGUGACAACAAACAACAGCAGCAGAGGCGCUGCUGCCUCCUCCUCCUCCUCCUCCUCCUCCCCAAGUGUGUAACCCUUUGAGGAUCACAUCUGCAGUUUCUGAUUCGACAGGACUGUUCUCUACAGCUUCCACUGUCACAGACGACUCUACAGAUCCUCCCAAGCUGUCAUUGUAAAACCCACCACCCUGUGACCCUCUGUUUGAAACUGUGUCUAACGUGGAGGACUUCAGCAGAUCCUUGGCAGUCUGGAUGGGGUUGGAUGAGCCCCUCUGG